rnacentral:rRNA from 1 species
CCUACGGGUGGCUGCAGUGAGGAAUAUUGGUCAAUGGGCGCAAGCCUGAACCAGCCAAGUCGCGUGAAGGAUGACUGCCCUACGGGUUGUAAACUUCGUUUAUAAAGGAAUAAAGUGAGGCACGUGUGCCCUUUUGGAUGUACUUUAUGCAUCAGGAUCGGCUAAAUCCGUUCCAGCCGCCGGGGUAAAUCGGAGGUUUCGAGCGUUGCCCGGAUUUUUUGGGUUUAAAGGGAGCGUAGAUGGGUUGUUAAGUCAGGUGUGAAAGGUUGCGGCUCAACCGUAAAAGUGCAAGUGAUACGGGCAGCUAUGAGUACAGAUGAGGUAGGCGGAAUUCGUGGUGUAGCGGUGAAAUGCUUAGAUAUCACGAAGAACUCCGAGUGGGAAGGCAGCCUACUAAACGGCAACUGACAUUGAUGCUCGAAAGUGUGGGUAUCAAACAGGAUUAGAUACCCCAGUAGUC